UUGCAGUCACAUCACGUUGAAACACUGGUUUCUGUAUGAUCACUGAAGUUAAGCAAUGUCGAGCCUGGUCAGUACCUAGAUGGAUGACUGACUGGGAAUACCAGGUGCUG